rnacentral:rRNA from 1 species
UACGAAGGGGGCUAGCGUUGCUCGGAAUCACUGGGCGUAAAGCGCACGUAGGCGGCUUGUUAAAUCAGGGGUGAAAUCCUGGAGCUCAACUCCAGAACUGCCUUUGAUACUGGCGAUCUUGAGUCCGGGAGAGGUGAGUGGAACUGCGAGUGUAGAGGUGAAAUUCGUAGAUAUUCGCAAGAACACCAGUGGCGAAGGCGGCUCACUGGCCCGGUACUGACGCUGAGGUGCGAAAGCGUGGGGAGCAAACAGG